rnacentral:rRNA from 1 species
GAUGAACGCUAGCUACAGGCUUAACACAUGCAAGUCGAGGGGUAACGAGAGGAAAGCUUGCUUUCCUUGUCGACGACCGGCGCACGGGUGAGUAACGCGUAUCCAACCUGCCCCCAACUAGGGAAUAACCUUGCGAAAGUAAGACUAAUACCCUAUAAUUUCCUCAGAUGACAUCUGACGAGGAAUAAAGAUUUAUCGGUUGUGGAUGGGGAUGCGUCUGAUUAGCUUGUUGGCGGGGCAACGGCCCGCCAAGGCAACGAUCAGUAGGAGUUCUGAGAGGAAGGUCCCCCACAUUGGAACUGAGACACGGUCCAAACUCCUACGGGAGGCAGCAGCGAGGAAUAUUGGUCAAUGGGCGGAAGCUUGAACCAGCCAAGUAGCGUGCAGGAUGACGGCCCUAUGGGUUGUAAACUGCUUUUAUACAGGAAUAAAGUUAGCCACGUGUGGUUAUUUGUAGGUACUGUAUGAAUAAGGACCGGCUAAUUCCGUGCCAGCAGCCGCCGUAA